rnacentral:rRNA from 1 species
UAUAGGUUUGGUCCCAGCCUUCCUGUUAACUUUCAAUAGACUUAUACAUGCAAGCAUCCACGCCCCGGUGAGUAACGCCCUUCGAAUCACACAGGACUAAAAGGAGCAGGUAUCAAGCACACACUCUUGUAGCUCACAACGCCUUGCUUAACCACACCCCCACGGGAGACAGCAGUAACAAAAAUUAAGCCAUAAACGAAAGUUUGACUAAGCCAUAUUGACCAGGGUUGGUAAAUCUCGUGCCAGCCACCGCGGUCAUACGAUUGACCCAAGCUAACAGGAGUACGGCGUAAAGCGUGGUAAAGCAUCAUACUAAAUAGAGUUAAAUUUUAAUUAAACUGUAAAAAGCCAUAAUUAUAACAAAAAUAAAUGACGAAAGUAACCCUACAAUAGCUGAUACACCAUAGCUAAGACCCAAACUGGGAUUAGAUACCCCACUAUGCUUAGCCCUAAACACAAAUAAUUAU